GAAGAUAUAGCUCAAGUGGUUGAGCACGUGCUUAGCAUGCAUGAGAUCCUAGGUUCAAUCCCCGGUACCUCCU
rnacentral:tRNA from 1 species